UAGAAAUAAAUGGUUUCAUGGUCUUCGAUAUAAACAUAUAAUUAUAUGAAAAUAAAAAAUGAAACUUUGAAACUAAUUGAAUAAUAUUACCAUAUAUAAAUUAUUUUGGUAAAUGUGUUAGUAGCCAGGAUUUUCCCACGUAAGUUUUGUGGCUAUAUUAAAAAAAUUCUAUAUCCUAUAUCCUAAACGUCUAAUUUAAAUCCUAUAUCCAAAAUAUUAAACCUAAUCUCUAUAUUUAAUAUUUUCAUAUUGUAAACCCCAAUAUUAAACAUAAAACUCUAAAUCUAUUUUUUAAAGUCCUUUCUAAAAUAAAUCUAAUUAAACACUAAACUACAUAUCUCAAACCCUAUAUCCUAAAUACAAACUUAAACCUUACAUACAAAACCAUAAAUCAAAUCUUUUUCAAACUUAAAAUCUCAUCUUAAACUUAAACUCCAUUUAAACAAAAUAAUAAUUGUAAAUCAUAAAUUAAUUUUUAAACCUUAAAAUCCAAACAUCAAACUUCAUUUCAUACUUCAAACCCUAUAAGUAAACACAUUAAAAUUUAAUUUUAAAAACUAAAUCGUAAAUCUAAUUACUAC
rnacentral:lncRNA from 1 species